AACAGAACACAAUCUUCAUCAUCACACAAGACACAACAACAACAAUGAACAACAUCAUCAUCCUCAUCUGGACCAUUGCAGCUUUUAUUCAUGAAUCCAGAGGAAUCACUGUGACUCAGCCUAAAGUUAAAACUGUCCAGCUCGGUCAAACAGCUACAAUAGAGUGUAGUCUGGAUGUAGGACUAACCUAUAAUGGUUUGGCUUGGUAUCAGCAGAAACCUGGAGAAGCUCCUAAACUCCUCAUUUAUUACAUAAACAGCCUCCAGUCAGGAACUCCAUCUAGAUUCAGUGGCAGUGGAUCUAACUAUGGAAAAGAUUUCACUCUGACCAUCAGUGGAGUCCAGACUGAAGAUACAGGAGAUUAUUACUGUCAGAGUGCACACUAUAUCAGUAGUAGCUGGGUGUUCACACAGUGAUAAAGAGUCGUACAAAAACCUCCGUCAGUCAGAGUCACAGUGACUGCACUGAUACAGCUG